rnacentral:rRNA from 1 species
CAUGCAAGUCGAACGGAAAGGCCCUUCGGGGUACUCGAGUGGCGAACGGGUGAGUAACACGUGGGUGAUCUGCCCUGCACUUUGGGAUAAGCCUGGGAAACUGGGUCUAAUACCGAAUAUGACCGCGCACUUCCUGGUGUGUGGUGGAAAGCUUUUGCGGUGUGGGAUGGGCCCGCGGCCUAUCAGCUUGUUGGUGGGGUAAUGGCCUACCAAGGCGACGACGGGUAGCCGGCCUGAGAGGGUGACCGGCCACACUGGGACUGAGAUACGGCCCAGACUCCUACGGGAGGCAGCAGUGGGGAAUAUUGCACAAUGGGCGCAAGCCUGAUGCAGCGACGCCGCGUGAGGGAUGACGGCCUUCGGGUUGUAAACCUCUUUCAAUAGGGACGAAGCGCAAGUGACGGUACCUAUAGAAGAAGGACCGGCCAACUACGUGCCAGCAGCCGCGGUAAUACGUAGGGUCCGAGCGUUGUCCGGAAUUACUGGGCGUAAAGAGCUCGUAGGUGGUUUGUCGCGUUGUUCGUGAAAACUCAC